UUAUAAUCAUUUUAAAACCCUGGUUCAAACCACUGAGGAUGAGGGUUGCUUUUUGGCAUUUAUGUAGGCCCAUGGAC